CAUAGCGGCACUAGGCCGCUACUUCACGCCGGUAUUCUGUGCGAGUGUGGUAAGUAACCCGGACGAGUCUGGCCCGAUUGUGCUGACGUCAUGAGACAGCAGCGUGACUCUCCCACUUUCAAAAAGCCCGUAGUCGCCUCUUACGACACCCUUGGACCUGGGACUACCCUAUUCUUUUUUACGCCCCGGGGCAGCACAGGGCAAAAUUUCUUAAUAUGUACUGAUAACGAUGUGGAUGAAAAUUUUUCUUACAACAAAGAUAUUUAUAAUGAACUAUAAAUGUAAUGUAGAGAUAUGGGGGUGAGAGGUUAUCGAUAAUAUGUGUCAAGUUGAAUCGAGUAACUCUCCACAAACUUUAACAACCACACAUCAAGUUCAAUCAAGUCAAACGACAACAAACCGAUUAGAGCUAUGAGUCCAAAUCUGUCUGCUUGUGCUGCCUGUCUAAUAUUAACGGCCACGACUUCACACGUCUUCGCAAAAAAUAGAGUUAUAAACGCAGUGAAGAUAGACCUAACCGCUCCGGAGCUGGUUGAUGUGAGGGAAGUGGAUGCUCAGGGAUUGUACGUGAGGUGGAGGACAGUGGCUUUUUCCAGGGCGGACCCCGUCCUAGGAUAUAAGAUAAAAAUAUGGGAAGUGAAAGAGUCGUCUGAACACGGACUGGAACUGGUUAAUGCUGAAGAGUAUCCAGCAGAGGUAACCAGUGAACUACCGACAGAUCCGUUCCCGUUGGCCAACACCACACCCGGGACCAGAGAGGAGAUCGCGACCGGCGGGGAGACAAGCAGCGCGGUGGUGUCAGGGCUCCGGGGCGAGACUGUAUACGAGCUCCGGGUUUCAGCUUUCAAGGCUCACGAGGACGGGCCGUGGUCGCUCCCCACGAGGAUCAAAGUAAUGAACGAGGUUGACCUGGGCAGACGUGCCUCCAUCACCAGGACUGCGGAGGGCUGCAGGUUCUCCGUCUCCUCCGAUGUGGAAGCGGAACACGAAGAAUACAUCCACGUGUAUAAUUCUUAUUUUUGAAAAGCGCUACGAACUUGAUUUUUGACCGUUUACCCAACUGAUUGCAAAAUAAUUAGUUAUGUUACAAGUUG